UGGGCCCCCGGCAUGGAGCCCAUGGCUUUGACAGGGACCCGCAUGGACAGAGGGGACUGGCCACUGCCUCGCAUCCGACUGGAUGACAUACCUGGGCGGAGAGCGAUGGGCAUGAUGAGAUGGGUUUAAGAGAGUGCUAUCCACACUCACACACUGCGAAGUAGUACACUCAAAAAGUAUACAUGUGGUCUUCUCCCUUAUUUAAUGUUCAUAUGCCAAUGCUCUGAUGACAGUACAAUACAGAAAAUGAGGGAGAAGGGCACAUAUUCUCUGUAUACUUGAGAUCAGGAAUUGUGGCAGCAAAGAGUUGUAGGCUAGAUGCCUGAACCCAGAGGAAUAUCAGUGGAACUGAGGUGUAUAACCAGGGAGGGAGGGACAGUGCCUGAACCCAGAGGAAUAUUAGUGGAACUGAGGUGUAUAACCAGGGAGGGAGGGACAGUGCCUGAACCCAGAGGAAUAUCAGUGGAACUGAGGUGUAUAACCAGGGAGGGAGGGACAGUGCCUGAACCCAGAGGAAUAUCAGUGGAACUGAGGUGUAUAACCAGGGAGGGAGGGACAGUGCCUGAACCCAGAGGAAUAUCAGUGGAACUGAGGUGUAUAACCAGGGAGGGAGGGACAGUGCCUGAACCCAGAGGAAUAUUAGUGGAACUGAGGUGUAUAACCAGGGAGGGAGGGACAGUGCCUGAACCCAGAGGAAUAUCAGUGGAACUGAGGUGUAUAACCAGGGAGGGAGGGACAGUGCCUGAACCCAGAGGAAUAUCAGUGGAACUGAGGUGUAUAACCAGGGAGGGAGGGACAGUGCCUGAACCCAGAGGAAUAUCAGUGGAACUGAGGUGUAUAACCAGGGAGGGAGGGACAGUGCCUGAACCCAGAGGAAUAUCAGUGGAACUGAGGUGUAUAACCAGGGAGGGAGGGACAGUGCCUGAACCCAGAGGAAUAUCAGUGGAACUGAGGUGUAUAACCAGGGAGGGAGGGACAGUGCCUGAACCCAGAGGAAUAUCAGUGGAACUGAGGUGUAUAACCAGGGAGGGAGGGACAGUGCCUGAACCCAGAGGAAUAUCAGUGGAACUGAGGUGUAUAACCAGGGAGGGAGGAUGAGGAAGUAAAGUUGUGGGCAGGUCUGAGUUACCUGCUGACGGACGGACAAUGGUUACCUGAGAGGAGUGGGGUAGGUGAGGAACAGGUUAGGGUUACCUGAGAGGAGUGGGGUAGGUGAGAGACAGGUGAGGAACACGUUAGGGUUACCUGAGAGGAGUAGGGUAGGUGAGAGACAGGUGAGGAACAGGUUAGAGUUACCUGAGAGGAGUAGGGUAGGUGAGGAACAGGGUAGGGUUACCUGAGAGGAGUGGGGUAGGUGAGGAACAGGUUAGGGUUACCUGAGAGGAGUAGGGUAGGUGAGAGACAGGUGAGGAACAGGUUAGAGUUACCUGAGAGGAGUAGGGUAGGUGAGGAACAGGUUAGGGUUACCUGAGAGGAGUAGGGUAGGUGAGGAACAGGUUAGGGUUACCUGAGAGGAGUAGGGUAGGUGAGGAACAGGGUAGGGUUACCUGAGAGGAGUAGGGUAGGUGAGAGACAGGUGAGGAACAGGGUAGGGUUACCUGAGAGGAGUAGGGUAGGUGAGGAACAGGUUAGGGUUACCUGAGAGGAGUAGGGUAGGUGAGAGACAGGUGAGGAACACGUUAGGGUUACCUGAGGGGAGUAGGGUAGGUGAGGAACAGGUUAGGGUUACCUGGGGGGAGUAGGGUAGGUGAGAGACAGGUGAGGAACAGGUUAGGGUUACCUGAGAGGAGUAGGGUAGGUGAGGAACAGGGUAGGGUUACCUGAGGGGAGUAGGGUAGGUGAGAGACAGGUGAGGAACACGUUAGGGUUACCUGAGAGGAGUAGGGUAGGUGAGGAACAGGGUAGGGUUACCUGAGAGGAGUAGGGUAGGUGAGGAACAGGGUAGGGUUACCUGAGAGGAGUAGGGUAGGUGAGGAACAGGGUAGGGUUACCUGAGAGGAGUAGGGUAGGUGAAGAACAGGGUAGGGUUACCUGAGAGGAGUAGGGUAGGUGAGGAACAGGGUAGGGUUACCUGAGAGGAGUAGGGUAGGUGAGGAACAGGGUAGGGUUACCUGAGAGGAGUAGGGUAGGUGAGAGACAGGUGAGGAACAGGUUAGGGUUACCUGAGAGGAGUAGGGUAGGUGAGAGAGGCUCCCUCUGUACCUCUCAGGAUAGGGUAGGCAGUAUCAGGUUCCACUUGAGAGAGUGGGGAAGGUAUAGGCCAGGUGUAGG